UUUCCAUGCAGGACUUUGACUUGUAACAGAGUAAUUUAACAGCGUGGUAUUAGUAUGUUUACUGUAGUAAAGGAUAUGAAGACUAUUCUUCCACCGCUGGUGACCAAAUG